CCUACGGGAGGCAGCAGUCGGGAAUAUUGCGCAAUGGAGGAAACUCUGACGCAGUGACGCCGCGUGCAGGAAGAAGGUUUUCGGAUUGUAAACUGCUUUAGACAGGGAAGAAAAAAGACAGUACCUGUAGACUAAGCUCCGGCUAACUACGUGCCAGCAGCCGCGGUAAUACGUAGGGAGCAAGCGUUAAUCGGAAUUACUGGGCGUAAAGCGCUCGUAGGCGGUAUGUCAAGUCAAGGGUGAAAUCCCCGCGCUCAACGUGGGAACUGCCUUUGAAACUGGCAAACUGGAGUGUGUGAGAGGAUAGUGGAAUUCCAGGUGUAGGAGUGAAAUCCGUAGAUAUCUGGAGGAACAUCAGUGGCGAAGGCGGCUUACUGGACUGUAACUGACGUUGAGGCUCGAAAGCGUGGGGAGCAAACAGGAUUAGAUACCCGUGUAGUC
rnacentral:rRNA from 1 species